rnacentral:rRNA from 1 species
GGGGAGGUGUAUCUAUUGCUCGUCGAGCGGUAGCAAGGAGAGCUUGCUCUGGGGUGACGAGCGGCGGACGGGUGAGUAAUGUCUGGGAAACUGCCUGAUGGAGGGGGAUAACUACUGGAAACGGUAGCUAAUACCGCAUAAUGUCGCAAGACCAAAGUGGGGGACCUUCGGGCCUCAUGCCAUCAGAUGUGCCCAGAUGGGAUUAGCUAGUAGGUGGGGUAACGGCUCACCUAGGCGACGAUCCCUAGCUGGUCUGAGAGGAUGACCAGCCACACUGGAACUGAGACACGGUCCAGACUCUUACGGGAGGCAGCAGUGGGGAAUAUUGCACAAUGGGCGCAAGCCUGAUGCAGCCAUGCGGGGUGUGUGAAGAAGGCCUUCGGGUUGUAAAGCACUUUCGGCGGGGAGGAGGGCGGGGAGGUUAAUAACCUCACCGAUUGGCGUUACCCGCAGAAGAAGCACCGGCUACUUCCGUGCCAGCGGCCGGGGUAAUACGGAGGGUGCAGCCGUUAAUCGGAAUUAUUGGGCCUAAAGCGCACACCGGGGGUUUGUCAAGUCGGAUGUGAAAUUCCCGGGUUCAACCCUGGAACUGCUUCCGAAACUGCCAAGCUAGAGUCUUGUAGAGAGGGGGAGAUUUCGGUGUGCAGCGGUGAAAUGCGUAGAGAUUUGGAGAAUUACCGGUGCCGGAGGCGGCCCCCCUGACAAAGGCUGACGCUUAGGUGUGCAAGCGGGGACAACGGAUAAAACCUGGUAGUCAGCCGAAACAUGUNAUUGGAGGUGUCCCUUGAGAGGUUCCGGACUUCGGGCGUAAUCACCGUUGCUGACGCGCUAAAACAACUCCAUAGUGAGUACGGCCGCACAGUCGAGACUUGUGUUAUUCAUCAGGAACCCGCACUACUGUCUGAUUCUGACUUCUAAUUCGGUCUCUCGCGUGAAACCCUGAUGCUUCCUCUGUUCCAUAGAAGUCUCACGACAUCUAUCUUUGCCUGUCGGAACCGAGAUGCAGAUACUGCAUGGCUGGCGUCAGCUCGUGGUACGA